GCCGGGAUGGCGGAACUGGUAGACGCACCAGACUCAAAAUCUGGCGCCUGCAAGGGCGUGCCGGUUCGAUUCCGGCUCUCGGUACCA
rnacentral:tRNA from 1 species